rnacentral:rRNA from 1 species
UACAGAGGGUGCGAGCGUUAAUCGGAAUUACUGGGCGUAAAGGGCGCGUAGGUGGUUAUGUAAGAUUGUUGUGAAAUCCCUGGGCUUAACCUAGGAACUGCAACGAUGACUACAUAGCUUGAGUAUUGUAGAGGGUAGUGGAAUUUCCGGUGUAGCGGUGAAAUGCGUAGAGAUCGGAAGGAACACCAGUGGCGAAGGCGGCUACCUGGACAAAUACUGACACUGAGGCGCGAGAGCGUGGGGAGCAAACAGG